GGGGGGGGGGGUCCAACUACAUGUCCCCAUUCAAAUGCAUUGAUCGUCCAAUAAAGAAAGGGGGUUCCAACAUGUCCAACCCUCAGCCCCCCCUUGGAUCCGUGCCUGUGAGGCAUGCUUUAGCUUGCCAUUAAACAAAAAUGUAUACUAGUUGAGUGAUAAUGGACGUCAUACUAAACUCUUCAAUAUAAAAAAAAGAAACUAAAAUAAAAAUCAUACAAAGGUCACAAAGGCCAUAACUUCUGGCUCCUGAAUUAGGAAAAGUGCAAAAUGCAGUGAGGAUAAAAGCCUUUACUGUAAAUUCCUGAAAUUACAAUUAUAUAAAUCAUCUCACAUCUUUGUGCAUUUCUUGAAAUUGGUCAUAUUAAUAAAUGCAUGCAAUAUUUUCAGAAAAUUUCAAUAUAUAGGCUUUUAAAAGUCAAUCUUGUGCAUGAUUAUCAAUGAUUAUACUCGCACAAUUAACACAUGUGGUUCUCAAAACUCAGAGGUGUCUAUGCUAUUUAUGACAACAUUUUAA
rnacentral:lncRNA from 1 species